GAUGAACGCUGGCGGCGUGCCUAAUACAUGCAAGUCGAGCGAACGGACGAGAAGCUUGCUUUUCUGAUGUUAGCGGCGGACGGGUGAGUAACACGUGGAUAACCUACCUAUAAGACUGGGAUAACUUCGGGAAACCGGAGCUAAUACCGGAUAAUAUUUUGAACCGCAUGGUUCAAAAGUGAAAGACGGUCUUGCUGUCACUUAUAGAUGGAUCCGCGCUGCAUUAGCUAGUUGGUAAGGUAACGGCUUACCAAGGCAACGAUGCAUAGCCGACCUGAUAGGGGGAGAGCCCAAAUGGAAACGGAAACACGGCCCAGCUCCCUACGGAAGGCAGAAGUGGGGAAUCUUCCGCAAGGGGCGAAAGCCUGACGGAGCAACGCCGCGGGAGUGAGGAAGGCCUUCGGAUCGUAAACUCUGUUAUUAGGGAAGAACAUAUGUGUAAGUAACUGUGCACAUCUUGACGGUACCUAAUCAGAAAGCCACGGCUAACUACGUG
rnacentral:rRNA from 1 species